GUGAAGAAAAUUACCUCUUUGACCACUCUAGAUUGGUUUCUCAAAGUGCUGAAAAUCAGAAGCUUCCUUUUUUCAAAGACGUUAGAAGGGCUUUCUAAUUUCUUUCAUUAAUAUUACCACUUAUUGGAUGGAUGGCUUGGUCCUCUUUUUGUUCAUUUUGGUAAUAAUGCUUGCCCUUUUGGCUUCUUUGCAGUAUCCACUCUUACUUCCGGGCGAGAAAGAAUUUGUCUACGAAAGUUGCUCACAUUUGUCAUCUUCUUCAGGCUCCAUCGAGGGUUCUUUCACGUUUGUCUCUGGAAGAUUGGCUGAUCCCAAAAGCAGGCCGUUUGAGGUUGAAGUGGCGCGUUUUCCUCUCCAGGUGCCAGACUACAUUUUCUAAGAUAACAGUUGUGUGAGGUUAAUAUGUUUAAAGUUUGGAUGAUUGAAUAAAUUUCUUGUAUAUCUGAUGGGAUGUUUUGUUACUAUGUGUAAUUUGGUAAGCUGAAUUUGUUGCUCAAUGGCGGAACCCUAACAUAUGUCCUAAAGAGCCAUUUUGUCCUUUUUAUGAGGACUGUUAUUUUUUGUAAACAUGUUUUCAUGUGACAGCCCUUUGGUUCCUAGUGGGUGGUUUGAAAUUUGGAUUCUUGUGCUCGUUA